AUAAGGCAAUCGCCGAGUUCCUUUUAAUGGAAGCGGGGGACCCGUUUUUGGGGUGAAUCCUGUGAAACAGGUAGGGCAAAUUUCUUUCUGUCCGAAUCCGUCAGCUAACCUCGUAGGCGUUGAAAGAGAAGGAUA
rnacentral:sRNA from 2 species